rnacentral:rRNA from 1 species
AUUGAACGCUGGCGGCAGGCUUAACACAUGCAAGUCGAGCGGAGAGAGGUAGCUUGCUACUGAUCUUAGCGGCGGACGGGUGAGUAAUGCUUAGGAAUCUGCCUAUUAGUGGGGGACAACAUUUCGAAAGGAAUGCUAAUACCGCGUACGUCCUACGGGAGAAAGCAGGGGAUCUUCGGACCUUGCGCUAAUAGAUGAGCCUAAGUCGGAUUAGGUAGUUGGUGGGGUAAAGGCCUACCAAGGCGACGAUCUGUAGCGGGUCUGAGAGGAUGAUCCGCCACACUGGGACUGAGACACGCCCCAGACUCCUACGGGAGGCAGCAGUGGGGAAUAUUGGACAAUGGGCGCAAGCCUGAUCCAGCCAUGCCGCGUGUGUGAAGAAGGCCUUAUGGUUGUAAAGCACUUUAAGCGAGGAGGAGGCUACUUUAGUUAAUAUCUAGAGAUAGUGGACGUUACUCGCAGAAUAAGCACCGGCUAACUCUGUGCCAGCCGCCGCAGUAAGAC